UCCCUGAGGGAGCAGCAGCAGCAGCAGCAGCAACAGCAGAGUUUGCCUGCGCGGUAUUUGUGGGGAGUGAAGUCUUGGGUUUCUAGAACAUUCCUCAGUAUUGCCAGAGAUCACAAUAAUCAGGCCACGGCUCAAUUGUUCCUCCUGGUUGUGUGCAGCGUUUUCACUUGCUCUGGGAGAGAUGAGGUUUUAUUUUUAUUUUACCUCGGCCUCUGAGAAGUUAAAGAAGGUAUUACCAUGUACAUAUAGUGCUCUUUUAUUGUGACAUAGGAAGUUAAAGAAGGUAUUACCAUGUACAUAUAGUGCUCUUUUAUUGUAUCGGAAGACGCAAUGAUACAAGACAAAUACAGCUAUGCCUUUAUCCACUUUUGAGCUAAGUAAACCGUUAUAAUUUAAAAGAAAACACCCAGAGAUCACAAACCUUUGUAAAGGCCACAUAGUUUCCCACAGUACAAAAAAUAUUUUGAGUUAUGCUGCUCACAAACAGUUAACAGAGGUAAUGAAUUCGGGUCAGUCGGGGUUUCAUACAUCACAGAACAGCCAGAGCCUCAUCCUCUGUGGGGUGAGUUUUCCAUAUUCUCUCUCUCUAUCGCAAACCUUUGAUAGCAGUUUGUCUGUAGUAGUGCUUGGAACUAGUUUAUGUUAGUGACGCCCACCUGCGCUGAUAUCUCACUACCUUUCUACCCGUUAAAUAUAAGUGUUGAUAAACUGCUGUGAGGUUAACCUGAAAUAUUCAUAUUUUAUUACUGCUGUCACGUAACCGCUGACGAGCACCAGAUUAUGAAAAUAAUCGUUAGUUGCAGCUGUAGUUUGAUGCCAGUGAUUUCCAAGCCGAGUCGGCUACUGUUAGUCAGAGCUGGUGAAGUAGAGUCAAUUUGAUCUGUUAUUGUUACAUUUUCUUCCUCCGUAUCUUCAGAGUUGGUUUCAAACACGUCCGUGUGUAGUGGAAACAGAACAUGGGCAGAGGUUUGUGUGUUUUUUGAGCAAAGUCUGAACUGUAAGCGAGGUGGAUUUACAGUUUUUUACUAAAUUAGGUAGAUGUGUACAUCCUAAGAUGAAGCCGACGCUUGUUUUUAAAAUGGAAAACACUUGGAAAUGUGCAAUAUUAGGAGAUUAAUAAACCAGCAAGUCUGUAGUCGAUCAAAAAAAAAAAAAAGUCUCCUGGUCGGGCUAAAGAG